rnacentral:rRNA from 1 species
UACGUAGGUGACAAGCGUUGUCCGGAUUUACUGGGCGUAAAGAGCGCGCAGGCGGCUGGUCAAGUCCGAUGUGAAAGCUCCCGGCUUAACUGGGAAAUUGCAUCGGAAACUGAUCGGCUGGAAGGUGGGAGAGGGUAGCGGAAUUCCCGGUGUAGUGGUGAAAUGCGUAGAUAUCGGGAGGAACACCAGUGGCGAAGGCGGUUCUCUGGGCAUGACCUGACGC